GUCCAGAAUGCGGCGGACCAGAGCCAGAGCCCUGCAAAGGUGAUGGCAGCAGCCGGCCAAUAGCGCGUCGUCAUGAUGGCGAGGCCGGCUGC
rnacentral:sRNA from 14 species